rnacentral:lncRNA from 1 species
CUCUAAAAAUAUAAUACUUCUAGCAGAGAAACUAAUUUUAACUGCUACGCUAACUGGAACAAAGAAAAGGCCAAUGUGGCUAAAUCAUAGAGUGCAGGAAGAAUAGUGUCCAAUAAGGCUGCUAACAUAGGUUGAGGACAGGAUUUUUUUUUUCUCAACCCUUACCUUAUAUCUUAAAAUCAAUACAUCCUCUUUCUCCUCAAACCGCUAAGUUCAGCCCUGGGAAGAAUGACAGACCCCGACCUUUUGGACAAAGAACAAGUGAAAGAAUCACAGAAAGGACAACUCCACCAACAAAAGAGCGUUUGCUUGUUGUCUUGACCCAGUCAGCUGCCCACAAGCUGACUCCAGAGGGUGCCCACAGCUGCCCAAUCAAUAUGGAGGACGCUAUGACUGCACAAGGGAAGCUAGUCUGUACAGCGGAUCUGGAGGGAGGGAGGCGGGAGGCAGGGGCUUGGGCUGUGUGUGCAGGAACGCAAGAUGGAAAGCAAAGCCUUGUAAGGUCAGGUACAAGACUAUCUCGUCCCCACACGCUCAUUUCCACGAAAGAAAGACUCCUGUUGUACUACUAUUUCUUUCUCUAGGGAUCUCAGAAUUGUCAUCAGACCAGACCUGUGGACCAUCUGCCCUGGGAUUCUGUCUCAGACCAAGAGAAACAUGGGCAAGCAUGGCUGCCUCCAUGGCCACACCAAACCUUACCAAGAUCAUCAGACUCAGAACAUCGCUGUUCAUCUUCUAGUAGGAACAAUGAUUGUGAAGCUAUCUAAUAUGAAGAUCUUUUUUUCUUCCUCAACCGGCUUAUUUAAUACCUCAAGGAGUAUUCUCUAAUAUUUUGGGGUGCUGUGAAAAAGUCCACAUUAUUCCUGUCUUUGGGGAAGGAGAAAGGGAAGGGAAGGGCAUACACAUUUAUACAGUGCCUAUGAUGUGCCAGUCCCUGUGCUAAAUGCUAUUUUUGUUUACAAGGAUCUAAUUUGAUCUUCACAACCACCUAUAAGGUGUUGUCUCCUCUCCCCUCCCCUCCUCUCCACUUGCCUGGGUCAUUCAGAAAAUGUUUGAAGAUGGAUUUGAACUUGGAUCUUCCUGACUCUGAACCCAGAGCUCUAUCCACUAUGCCUGUUGUAUAGUUCCUCCCUGCAGCUAUCAGUCCCAGAAGCCUACUUUUCCUCCUACCUAUAGAGAGAUAGAAGGAGAUAGAAGGGAAAGGGCAAAGGUGGAUAUUCUCUGGGAGACACGCUGCGGGGACUUGAAACUCAAUUGUACACACUGGUGGAACCAAUUGUACUCUAAGUGGCACUGCCUUCUGAC